UACGGGGGGGGGCAAGCGUUGUUCGGAAUUACUGGGCGUAAAGGGCUCGUAGGCGGCCAACUAAGUCGGACGUGAAAUCCCCUCGGCUUAACCGGGGAACUGCGUCCGAUACUGGAUGGCUUGAGGUUGGGAGAGGGAUGCGGAAUUCCAGGUGUAGCGGUGAAAUGCGUAGAUAUCUGGAGGAACACCGGUGGCGAAGGCGGCAUCCUGGACCAAUUCUGACGCUGAGUGAGCGAAAGCCAGGGGAGCAAACGGG
rnacentral:rRNA from 1 species